rnacentral:rRNA from 1 species
UACGGGGGGGGCAAGCGUUGUUCGGAAUUACUGGGCGUAAAGGGCUUGUAGGUGGCCAACUAAGUCAGACGUGAAAUCCCUCGGCUUAACCGGGGAACUGCGUCUGAUACUGGAUGGCUUGAGUGUGGGAGAGGGAUGCGGAAUUCCAGGUGUAGCGGUGAAAUGCGUAGAUAUCUGGAGGAACACCGGUGGCGAAGGCGGCAUCCUGGACCAUUACUGACGCUGAGGCGCGAAAGCAUGGGGAGCAAACAGG